AGUUAUAGGUAAGCCAUAUCAUUUUCUCUCCAUUCUGAUAUUAUAGGUGUAAUACAUAAAAUAAAAGAGAGCUAAUAUGAGAUAUUUCCCUGUCAUGAUAGUUCUACUGGAAAGAAAACGGUGAGAUCAUCCAAAGGAAAAUCACCAAAAAAGAAUCAAUGCGAUGUCUGUAAUAAUAAACCGCUGGAAGGCAAACGAUUAUGUGCAGAAUGUUUAUCGGAAGCAGCCGGAACAUCUAAUCCUUCAACUGAGUUUAUGCAGUUCAUAAAACAAGCAGUGACUCAGGGCAUUAAAGAAGCAGGUACAAGAACCAAAAGACCACGGUUACAUGACCCUUCAGAUUACCAACAAAACGAUUCAUCAGACGAGUCCAUGGAUAUGGAGUCAUACCAAGGAAAUUUCUUAUCUUCGGAAGAAGAAGAAACUCAGGCUCCUCCAGAUUUUCUAGAACCUGCUAAAAUAGAUGAUCUUAUUUAUAAAGUCUGUAAAUCUUUGAGUUUGAAAGUAACAGUUACAGAGCAGUCAACUUCUUAUCGUUACUUCUCAGACUUGAGAAAGAAAAAAGCAACCUUUCCAGUACAUGAUACUAUCAAGGAAUUAAUUAAAGGACCACUAUAGUGCCCUGAGGCUGCCCCCACCCUCAGGGACCCCCUCCCUCCCGGCUCUGGAAGGGGGAAAGGGGUAAAAACUUACCUUUUUCCAGCGCUGGGCGGGGAGCUCUCC